UACGAAGGGGACUAGCGUUGUUCGGAUUUACUGGGCGUAAAGCGCGCGUAGGCGGAUCGCUAAGUCAGGGGUGAAAUCCCAGGGCUCAACCCUGGAACUGCCUUUGAUACUGACGAUCUGGAGAUCGGGAGAGGUUGGUGGAAUUCCGAGUGUAGAGGCGAAAUUCGUAGAUAUUCGGAGGAACACCAGAAGCGAAGGCGGCCAACUGGCCCGAUACUGACGCUGAGGCGCGAAAGCCAGGGGAGCAAACGGG
rnacentral:rRNA from 1 species